rnacentral:rRNA from 1 species
CCUACGGGUGGCAGCAGUGGGGAAUAUUGGACAAUGGGCGAAAGCCUGAUCCAGCCAUGCCGCGUGUGUGAAGAAGGCCUUCGGGUUGUAAAGCACUUUCAGUGGGGAAGAAAGCCUUGGGGCUAAUACCCUCGAGGAAGGACAUCACCCACAGAAGAAGCACCGGCUAACUCCGUGCCAGCAGCCGCGGUAAUACGGAGGGUGCGAGCGUUAAUCGGAAUUACUGGGCGUAAAGCGCGCGUAGGCGGUCUGAUAAGCCGGUUGUGAAAGCCCCGGGCUCAACCUGGGAACGGCAUCCGGAACUGUCAGGCUAGAGUGCAGGAGAGGAAGGUAGAAUUCCCGGUGUAGCGGUGAAAUGCGUAGAGAUCGGGAGGAAUACCAGUGGCGAAGGCGGCCUUCUGGACUGACACUGACGCUGAGGUGCGAAAGCGUGGGUAGCAAACAGGAUUAGAUACCUGUAGUC